UCUCUGCUAGUACAUCGGCAAUACGCGCGCCUAUCAUGCCGAGAGUUCCUUUGUGGUGGCGCGAGAGCUGGGUUCAACUCCCAGGCAGAGAG